rnacentral:rRNA from 1 species
AACGAACGCUGGCGGCGCGUUUUAAGCAUGCAAGUCGAGCGGCAAGGGGCCUUCGGGCCCCUACGAGCGGCGGACGGGUGAGUAACACGUGGACAAUCUGCCCCCCGGCCCGGGGAUAGCCCAGGGAAACCUGGAUUAAUACCGGAUGAGACGGGACCCGCGAUGGCGGGAUCCGGGAAAGGCGCUGCGGCGCCGCCGGGGGAUGAGUCUGCGUCCCAUUAGCUUGACGGCGGGGUAACGGCCCACCGUGGCGACGAUGGGUAGCCGGCCUGAGAGGGUGUACGGCCACAUUGGAACUGAGACACGGUCCAGACUCCUACGGGAGGCAGCAGCUAAGAAUCUUCCGCAAUGGGCGAAAGCCUGACGGAGCGACGCCGCGUGAACGAAGAAGGCCGUUGAGGUUGUAAAGCUCUUUCGGGUAGGGGGAACGGACCGUGGCGAGGGAAGUGGCCGGCGGGAGUGACGUGAACGUCCCGGAAGUAAGCCCCGGCCUAACGUACGUGCCAGCAGCCGCGGUAAACGUAGCGUG